AUGUAAAAUGGGAAACAGACUUCUGAACAUUUAUUCACCUGAAACCUAAAUAUUAGCCGCACAUAAAAUCGAAAAUGGUCAAAGUGAACAAUGGAUCUCAUGGUGUUACAUUCACCAUUAUACUCUUUUGUUGGAGAUAUUCCUUGAGAGGAGUAAAAACACAACUAAGGCCAAUAAAAGCUGUGCGAAAAUGAGAAGACGAAGAGGAUACAAAUUACAAAGAGCAAAAGAUACAUUCAAAUAGUAGGUUGAGAAGAAGCUCGCCCAAAAGAAGCCCGCGGAGGAGAAUGUCGUCGCCGCCGAGAAAGAUCCGGCUGAGAAGAAGCCAAAGACCGAAGAAGAAGAAGAAGAAGAAGAAGAAGGGAAGAGAAGAAUGCCGCCGCCGUCGAGAAAGAUCCGGCUGAGAAGAAGCCAAAGGCCGACAAGAAGAAGAAGAAGGGAGGAGAAGAGGUCACCGCCGAGAAAGCUUGCCGAGAAGAAUCCCGCCGUAGGAGACUAGAAGAGCGUCGAUACUUACAAGAUCUACAUCUUCAAGGUUCUCAAGCAUAGAUUGGAAAUUUCAAUUGGGUAUUUUCCCAACAUAGAUUGAAAUUUUCAAUUGGGUAUUUUGGAAACCAAUUUAUUGGUUUAAUCUGUUAAACGUUGUUGUCUUGUGAGGUAAAUUAAUCAAAAAAUCGCAUGUUUCAUUGAAUUAACUCUGUUUUUGUUAUUGGGUUUGCUUUAAUAUUAUUGAACUUUCAAUUGGGUUACAAUUUAAUUUGUUAGGAUUUGAUCGAACAUUAUGAAUUGAUUAAUGUCCAAAUGUAGUUAGAACUUUUACUCCCAGUUA